rnacentral:rRNA from 2 species
CAGAAAAAAACUUUUUUUAAAUUAAAAAUUGAAGUUUUUUUAAUUUGUGCAGAAACAAUUAUUUAUAUUAAAGACAAGAAGACCCUAUGAAUUUAUUAAAUUUUUAUUUAAUAUGUAAUUACUAUUAGAAAAAUUUUGGCUGGGGCGGCUAGAAAAUAUUAUAAACUUUUUAAAAAUAAAAUGAUCCAUUAUUAAUGAUUUUAUGUUAAAUACUCUAGGGAUAACAGCGUUAUAUUUUUUGAUAGAUCAUAUUGACAAAA